rnacentral:rRNA from 1 species
GACGAACGCUGGCGGCGUGCUUAACACAUGCAAGUCGAGCGGUAAGGCCCUUUCGGGGGUACACGAGCGGCGAACGGGUGAGUAACACGUGGGUGACCUGCCCUCAGCUCUGGGAUAAGCCUGGGAAACCGGGUCUAAUACUGGAUAUGACUCCAUGACGCAUGUUGUGGGGUGGAAAGCCUUGUGCGGCUGAGGAUGGGCCCGCGGCCUAUCAGCUUGUUGGUGGGGUGANGGCCUACCAAGGCGACGACGGGUGGCCGGCCUGAGAGGGCGACCGGCCACACUGGGACUGAGACACGGCCCAGACUCCUACGGGAGGCAGCAGUGGGGAAUCUUGCGCAAUGGGCGAAAGCCUGACGCAGCGACGCCGCGUGAGGGAUGACGGCCU